rnacentral:tRNA from 1 species
GACCCCGUAGCUCAGUUGGCAGAGCAUUGGGCUAGUAUUCCAAAGGUUGUAGGUUCGAUUCCCACCGUGGCCA